UGUCAUGCAGAGUCACCUGUUAGAAGAUGAACAUCUUCUGACUUCAGUAAUAGUUCCUAGUUUUGAAAGUAGAUACUGAAGCAUGAAGCAGAAGUUGAAAUGUACCGGUAAGUUUAUGACAUCAACAGAGCCAUGUGAUACCCACAAGACUGUUCAUUUGAGAAGAAUUUAGGACAUGUGGGUAAAUGCUCCUAAUUUCCUUUAUCUGAAGUGAAACAAAGCACAAUCUUCCCAUGGCACCUCAUGCCUACAUUCAAAUGACUAGUGACAUAACGAACAUAAUACAUGAAGGCUACCUCCCCCACUCUACCAUCCUCCCAGGUCACUAAGUGGUAAGUGAAACUCUCCAGGCACCGAAGCCAACCUCUGUGGCAUCAAUCUCAGCUCUCAUGCUUUACUCAUACCCCACAUGGAAUCCAUUAACAAAUCUCGUUGCUUUCUCAUGGCAGAAGCAUCCAGAAUCUGAGUGCUGUCCUUACCUCCAUGGCUGCUACCCUCAUUUCAGCCAUUGCCCUAUCAUUUGGAUGACCUCAGUCCCCUCCUGAAUGGUUUCCCACUUCUGCAGCCCCCUGCUCUGAUCAAUUUUCCAGCUGUCAGGCAGAAUCACCUUUUUGAAAUAGCAAGGGAGAGAGGUCCCUGCU
rnacentral:lncRNA from 1 species